CUGAGAUGGGACUUUUCAUCUACAGAAGGCAAACCUGAGACACCAACUCUGGAAGACUUACCAUAUCAUCAACUUAAUUUUGAUGCAGAGUUGGAGGACCACAGCACCCCCUCCUAUCUCCAGUUGGUGGUAAAGAAUAUACACUAGGAGAUCUCUUUAGACACCUCAGUCACAGAAUCAUAGAACAUUAGAGUUGGACACAAUCGCAGGGGCCUCUCUGGUGUCGUGAAGGAAACAACAAACAACCAGGCACGUCCACAACCCUACCCUGGAAGUCAGAAGAUCUGGAUUUAAAUACGGCUUUGACCCUUGUCAAUUCUGUGACCACUGGCAGAGAGCAGCAGAAUCCCCAGCCAAGGGCUGCACCUGAGUCUGAGCCUGGAGCUGGUGGUGCAAGCCCAGAGUCCAGCGA